CAGAAUCAGCCGGGACCACCCGGUAAGGCUAAAUACUCCCAAGAGACCGAUAGUGGACCAGUACUGUGAAGGAAAGGUGAAAAGAACCCCGAACAGGGGAGUGAAAUAGAACCUGAAACCAUACGCUUACAACCGGUCGGAGCAGCUUCGUGCUGUGACGGCGUGCCUAUUGAAUAAUGAGCCUACGAGUUACUAAUCACUAGCGAGGUUAAGUGCAAGGAUGCACGGAGCCGAAGCGAAAGCGAGUCUGAACAGGGCGUUUAGUUAGUGGUUGUAGACGCGAAACCUUGCGAUCUACCCUUGAGCAGGUUGAAGGUUGGGUAAAACCAACUGGAGGACCGAACGAAUAAGCGUUGAAAAGCUUCUCGAUGACUUGAGGGUAGGGGUGAAAGGCUAAUCAAGCUGGGAAAUAGCUCGUACUCCCCGAAAUGCCUUUUGGGGCAGCGUUGUAAUAAAGAGUCUACUGGAGGUAGAGCUACUGAUUGGAUGCGGGGGCUUCACCGCCUACCAAAUCCUGACAAACUCCGAAUGCCAGUAGUAUGAUUUACAGCAGUGAGUGACUGGGUGCUAAUGUCCAGUCGCAAAAGAGGAACAACUCAGACCAGCAACUAAGGUCCCGAAGAAUAUGCUAAGUUGAUCUAACGAUGUUUUGUUGCAGAGACAGCUAGGAUGUUAGCUUGGAAGCAGCUAUUCAUUCAAAGAGUGCGUAACAGCUCACUAGUCGAGCGACAGAGCGUGGAUAAUAAACGGGCAUCAAGCAUAUCACCGAAGUUCUGGGCGCGAGAGCGCGGUAGGGGAGCAUUCCAUUCAGCGUCGAAGCAGUUUCGUGAGGAAUUGUGGAGCGUAUGGAAAAGCAAAUGUAGGCAUGAGUAACGAUAAUGCGGGAGAGUAACCCGCACACCGCAAGACCAAGGUUUCCUGAUCAACGCUAAUCGGAUCAGGGUUAGUCGGGUCCUAAGGGUAAGCCGAACGGCGAUCUCGAUGGAUAAUCGGUUAAUAUUCCGAUACUAACAUAUACCUCGAUGGAGAGACGAAGGAACGUAAGUGCCGCCACCUGACGGAAUAGGUGGUUAAAGGGCGUAGAUAUAGGGGCAGAUUAAGAGUUAGUCCUUGCUGAAACCUGACAGUACAGAGAGCCUACGGGCAAUUUGAUAGAGCACCCAAGUCGACUUCCGAGAAAAUCUUCUAAGUUAUAGUAUAUGUUACCCGUACCGUAAACCGACACAGGUGGUCGAGGAGAGUAUCCUAAGGUGCUCGAGUGAAUCACGGUUAAGGAACUAGGCAAAUUAACCCCGUAACUUCGGGAAAAGGGGUCCCUACGCGAGUAGGGCGCAGCGAAGAGGUCCAGGCGACUGUUUAUCAAAAACACAGGGCUCUGCAAAUUCGAAAGAAGACGUAUAGGGCCUGACACCUGCCCGGUGCUGGAAGGUUAAGAGGGGAUGUCAUCGCAAGAGAAGCAUUGAAUCGAAGCCCCAGUAAACGGCGGCCGUAACUAUAACGGUCCUAAGGUAGCGAAAUUCCUUGUCGGGUAAGUUCCGACCUGCACGAAUGGUGUAAUGAUCUGGACACUGUCUCAACCGUGAGCUCAGUGAAAUUGUAGUAUCGGUGAAGAUGCCGAUUACCCGCGAUGGGACGAAAAGACCCCGUGAACCUUUACUAUAGCUUAUCAUUGAAUCUGGGCACGUGAUGUGUAGGAUAGGUCGGAGGCUUUGAAGGGGGUACGCCAGUAUCCUUGGAGCCGCUGUUGAAAUACGACCCUUCAUUUGUUUGGAUUCUAACCCGUGUAUAUGGGGACACUGAUUGGUGGGUAGUUUGACUGGGGUGGUCGCCUCCAAAAGCGUAACGGAGGCUUCUAAAGGUGCCCUCCGGCCGAUUGGUAACCGGCCUUAGAGUGUAAUGGCAUAAGGGCGCUUGACUGGGAGACUGACAAGUCGAUCAGGUAGGAAACUAGAGCAUAGUGAUCCGGUGUUUCCGCAUGGAA
rnacentral:rRNA from 1 species